rnacentral:rRNA from 1 species
GACGAACGCUGGCGGCGUGCUUAACACAUGCAAGUCGAACGGAAAGGCCCUGCUUUUGUGGGGUGCUCGAGUGGCGAACGGGUGAGUAACACGUGAGUAACCUGCCCUUGACUUUGGGAUAACUUCAGGAAACUGGGGCUAAUACCUGAUAGGAGCUCCUGCUGCAUGGUGGGGGUUGGAAAGUUUCGGCGGUUGGGGAUGGACUCGCGGCUUAUCAGCUUGUUGGUGGGGUAGUGGCUUACCAAGGCUUUGACGGGUAGCCGGCCUGAGAGGGUGACCGGCCACAUUGGGACUGCGAUACGGCCCAGACUCCUACGGGAGGCAGCAGUGGGGAAUAUUGCACAAUGGGCGGAAGCCUGAUGCAGCAACGCCGCGUGCGGGAUGACGGCCUUCGGGUUGUAAACCGCUUUCGCCUGUGACGAAGCGUGAGUGACGGUAAUGGGUAAAGAAGCACCGGCUAACUACGUG